UAAAGGGACUGCCGGUGUUAAACCGGAGGAAGGUGGGGAUGACGUCAAGUCCUCAUGGCCUUUAUGACCAGGGCUACACACGUACUACAAUGGCCGAUACAAAGGGCAGCGACACUGCGAGGUGAAGCCAAUCCCGUAAAAUCGGUCUCAGUCCGGAUUGGAGUCUGCAACUCGACUCCAUGAAGUUGGAAUCGCUAGUAAUCGUGGAUCAGCAUGCCACGGUGAAUACGUUCCCGGGCCCU
rnacentral:rRNA from 1 species